UCCCCGUUACCGGGGCAGUCUAGCCAGAGAAAUUCAACUGGCUACAAGGGUUGCGCUCGUUAAAGGACUUAACCUAACAUCUCACGACACGAGCUGACGACGGCCAUGCAUCACCUGUCACUACGGCCCGAAGGCACUCACUCCUUUCGGAGUAAUUAGUAGGAUGUCAAACCCUGGUAAGGUUCUUCGCUUAUCCUCGAAUUAAACAACACGCUCCACCGCUUGUGCGGGUCCCCGUCAAUUCCUUUAUGUUUUAGCCUUGCGGCCGUACUCCACAGGCGGGAUGCUUAACGCGUUAGCUUCGCUACAAGAAGGGUCGAUACUCCUUACAGCUAGCAUCCAUCGUUUACGGCGUGGACUAC
rnacentral:misc_RNA from 1 species